GGAGAGGUGCUCGAGUGGUUUAAGAGGUACGCUUGGAAAGCGUAUGUGCGGCAAAACUGCACCGGGGGUUCGAAUCCCUUCUUCUCCGCCA
rnacentral:tRNA from 1 species